CGUUCAUGGCCUGUGUAGGGCUAGCCACAAUAGCAGCCCUUUCUCUAAAGGGAUCACAGGGACUGCUCUCUCCAUAUGCCCCAGAGGGGAGAAGAUAGAGUCAUAGUCUUCUUCUACAUAUGCCCAUGGGCCAGUCAUGCAGGGGCAAAACAGGAUCCUCCAGCACCUGAUUGAAUACCAGAUUAGUUGAAAAUGAUAAUAUGACAAUGAUAGUACCUACAAUUAUCACUGCAUCUUUUCUACAAGCUUCAAAUCCUCAGUUUUAGGUUGCUGGGUUUUUCGUUGAGGAAGGAUAUGUGGAAGAAAUGUCAACAACCCACCUCCCCAGCAAAAUGAAAUGGAAAACAAACUGGAAAACUGGUCUCCCUCCUCUGAUGUCCUUAAUUGCCAGGAUGACAGUAUCUCCUGUGGCUUACCUGAAGACUGAAGGGGAUAAUUGUCUUGCCCAAGAUCACACCGGCUUGCUGUUCUCGCCUGUCAGGUCUUUUCAAAUCACUUAACGUUUACUGGAACAAUUCUACACUGCCGGAUUUGCUGCUCAUCCAGCGUGGUGUUUGUAUCACAGCUGCUACACCAGAGUCAUCUCAAUAAGAGGAAACGUUUCUCACCACUUCAUUAGUACACAGCGGCAUGAAAAUAAUAAUUUCCUCUGAAAAUAAAAAACCACAAACCUUUCAUCUGGGGGAAAAAAAUCAUGAAAAAAGUAAGCUUGUUUUUGUUUGGGAGUUGAAAUGUUUGUGGUCGUUAAGGUAAUCUUACAAUCUGUAGUUGAUUCAAUUAAAAUGUGGCAGAAUUUGUGAUAUUUUUGUACACUUUUUCCAGAGCUGGUUGGAACAUUCAGACAUACUGAAUAAUGAAAGAUCAGAGUAUUAAAAAAUCACGGAGCACAGGGGUUUCAGGGCCAUGUCUAACCUCAAACCUUUACAGACAGGAAAGAAAAAUACAUCUUUUUUUCAAGUAUUUUUGGCUUUCUAUAGCUAUUUAACCACAUUGUUCUACUGAGCAAAUGAAAAAUAAUUUUGUCUUGCUCAUAAUUUGUGGAAAAUUUUGUAAACACCAGAAAGUGUACCUACAAGGGAAGGCACAAGACUUCAGUUAUGUCUCGCAAGGCAACAGUUUUAAUGGAAAGCUUGUUUUCUGGCUAUGUUGCAAAAUUAAUGUAUGUUAUUUGUUGGGCAAUAUUCACUUAUACACCAUUUAAGGCUAGAUCCCAGUCACUGUUACACAUGUAGAGUAGUAGCUUACUCCAUGAAUUCAUUGACUAUUUGCCGAGUAACCUGCUACCCAAUAAGAAUAAAUAGCUAGAUCUAAUAACAUGAAUAAGGGGAGCAGAAUCUGCCUCUUGGAUGUUACAACAGUGGGGCCCCAGUCUUGCAUUUUACAACAUGUGGACAAACUGAUGAGCCCACAUGGAACCCCACUGAAGAAAAACAAAUAGUUCACAAACUGUUACAAGUUGCAGGACAGGGACCUUAGCUCUUAAAACAAGAGAGCCAUAUUCUCCCCUAUUCUAUUUUAAUUCCCAUGAUGUCACAUAUUAAAGAUGAUGAUCAGUAAAGUAUAUGAUAAUGUCACAACUCAGAAGGCAUAAAAAUAUUGCAGGGAGCCUCUCAGCUCAAGUGGCCCCUGCAGUUCCAAUUAUAAAAUUCACCUUGCUUUGUAUUUAAUUUGAAGAGUUCAGUACAGAUCUAAUUAAAUGUUAAUACAUCAUUAAAAUGAUUUGUAAUAAGUAUAUUCAAACCAGGGUGAGUAUGAUAUGCUCUUUAUGAAGCCCAGACCUAGCUGGGAUCCUUCAGGUUGAAAAUUCAUUAUUCAUAACAAACAACAUUCUGGUAAUAUUAAUGACAUACACAAAUGUGAUCAAAAUAUUUGAUCUUGGAAAUAAUUUUAACAUUUGUGGGAACUUGAUAUUUGGGUUUUUUUUUUUUCUGGUUGACAUUAUUCUAUGAGGGAAUAUGCCUUUAAAAGGCUUUGGGUUUUUUUUUUUAGCAGGAAAAAAAAUAAGCCUUCUACAGAAUUAAUGAAGCUGGCUUUUUAGCCUAGGGUAAAAAGCUAGCUAAUGAAGUCAUUCAUCGUGACAGCCCACGGUCUGAGUUAUAUGAAUUAUUGCUUAUUAAUGGGAUUAAUUGUUUCUCAUGCUAUAAUACAAAAUGUAUGCACAUCUCCAAAAUAUCUAGGUUUAUAAUCUGAAACAGAAAAGGGAGGGGACAGGAGUGUAUUCGUUAUAUGAAGCACUUCCAUUUCUGAAUUUGUGUCAUGUAGGUAAACUUUAUCAAGAAAAUACAUAAAGUAAGGCAUGUAAAAAUGAAGAUAAAG